ACAUGACAUUGGCGACAUGUUGUCUUACGUAAACAAGUCCAAGUCCGAGGCGCUGAGUAAUGGACAGGUCUGAUUCGCUGUCUGGAGCUACAUUUGGAUAGAGCGCAAUCAGCCCAGCUGUUUCAUCUCAUGUUAGUGCGCAAUUGGGCAUGAUUGUAAUCCAAACCCAAUCCUAAUGUAAAUCGUGACAACCUCAGUUAUAUAAAUCUCACAAAACUCAGUUCCAGUUUUAGGUCAAUUUUGUCGCUGGAGUAUAUGUUUCUGACUAAUAUCGAUGCCACAUAUGCCGUUUUCAACUAGUCCAAUAUGUACCUGAAAACAACUAGAAGGAGUUCCAGGGGAACGUUUUUUUGGGGAGCAGGAAAACAUGGGAGCACAUUUUGGACUGAUGUUUUCCGCUCCAGAGCAGUGACUGGUUACCAUCGCAGCUGUUGUUUGGUAAUUGUAUUACCGUAAUCAGGUCCUGGACCUGGCACUGAUACUCUGCUCCAGUCAAAACACUGUCUAGGAUCUAACUUGCUAUGAUACUGUACCAUUGCCCCACUUAAUGAGUGAAUCACAGAUACAGAGUACAGAGCAUGCCUAAAUCCUCUCAAUCAUCCAAGAGAGAAUGAUCUAGUCUAGUGAGGGUUUAUUACUUAUGUUCCAUAUGUUAUUAUUUGUUAGAUAUUUAUCUAUAUUUAACGUAGUGCUUCAGCUUGCUAUUACUUUGUGUCACAGCGCUACAUGUUUAAAUAGAAUAAAAUGAAUUCAGACCCAUGUUUGACAAUAUUAAAAAUGCGUAUUCGGUGUAGUAGUGCCAUGUUUGUGUAAGGAUGUUAAAGAAUAUUCUGUUUGUGGAUGAAAAUCACACAGAGGAGGUGUAAGAGUUCAGCUGAACUGAAAUACUACAGUAUUUGUAAUGUUUCUAAUUGGUCGUUACAUUCAAUGUAGCAAUUAAUGCAAAGCGAUUUGCCGAGUUUGGAUAUGCAACACCGAGUUCAUUAACGCGUUUAGAAGAGAGGGGUUAUAUGUUGAUUAAUCCCUCUUGAAAUGCACAGUUUGUUACACCUUUCUUAAAGAAGCAAAGGUUUAUUCAGAAGUCUGACCAGACCAGAAUGUGAUGGAGAUGUCCUGUGCUCCCCAAAUCCUGCAGGUGGAGCAGUAGUAUCAGCUAUGGCUCGGGAUUCUUCCCUCGAUGGACAAGGACAAGGACACACAUCUCAACUCUCUAUAGCCCUCAGGCCUUUCACUGCAUAAUCGUCUAUCUCACUCUGUGUCAGGUUGCCAGCCACUCACCCUUGUCUGUAAUAACAACUAUUUUGUCUGUGCAGUAUACUGCUUCCGCUGAGACAUUCUCUUAGGACAUUUUGUAUCUACUGGCCCAAAAUCAGCUUUUAUUAAGUCAGCAUCUCACCAUAUGGUCUAGUAUA